GACACGCUGGCGGCGUGGAUUAGGCAUGCAAGUCGAACGGUAUCAUCCUUUCGGGGGUGAGAGAGUGGCGAACUGGUGAGUAACACGUAGGUUAUCUACCCUCAAGGACGGGGACAACCCAGGGAAACUUGGGCUAAUACCGGAUGUGAGCAACUUUUAGUUGUUUGAAAGGUGGCGUAAGCUGUCGCUUGGGGAUGAGCCUGCGUCCUAUUAGUUAGUUGGUGAGGUAACGGCUCACCUAGGCAAUGAUAGGUAGGCGGCCUUAACGGGUGGUCGCCCACACUGGGAUUGAGAUACGGCCCAGACUCCUACGGGAGGCAGCAGUCGAGAAUAGUCUACAAUGGUCGGAAGACUGAUAGUGCGACGCCGCGUGAACGAUGAAUCCCUUCGGGGUGUAAAGUUCUUUUAUAUGUGAGCAGUGCUUCUUAUAUUAACAGUAUGGGGAGAGAGAUAUUAGCAUAUGAAUAAGCAACGGCUAACUCCGUG
rnacentral:rRNA from 1 species